GACGGAGGAUGCAAGUGUUAUCCGGAAUCACUGGGCGUAAAGCGUCUGUAGGUGGUUUAAAAAGUCUACUGUUAAAAAUUGAAGCUUAACUUCAAAGAUGCCGUAGAAACUUUUAAACUUGAGGAUGGUAGGGGUAGAGGGAAUUUCCAGUGGAGCGGUGAAAUGCGUAGAUCUUGGAAAGACCACCAAUGGCGAAGGCACUCUACUGGGCCAUGACUGUCACUAAGAGACGAAAGCUAGGGGAGCAAAUGGG
rnacentral:rRNA from 1 species